AUUAGUUAUCAAGAGGAAAAAGAAAAAAGAAAAAAAAUGUAAAUUGAAAAGAUGCUCCCUCUCCUUACGUUCCGCAUACGCAACGUUUUUCCCUUCUUCCAUCGAUUGUCGUUUAGCCCUAGCUUUGACGUUGCCAACCCCAACACAUCAUGCUGACACUGACGAUCGCCUUGCCACGCCAGUUCGUAGUCGUCCGCGCCGAUAGUCCCUCCCUCCGAGUUCUGCUUUCGUUGGCCAGCCUAGCAUGCCACGCCCAGCCGUCGGUCGAUUUUUUUGAUCCCAGUCACGUUGGUCGUCAUUCAAAUCUUGAACUGUUCCGCUGCACUUGUCUCUGUUUUGCCGUGCAGUUUUUGGUCACUGGAAUCUUGGAAUUUGGAGGACACUUGACGGCCUCAAGACUGCACUGAAUGAUAAAGUUGGUUUAUACAAGGAGAAGGUGAGGAGAAAUAAAAAUUAUGUUGUGAAGUGCUUGCUCCGUGGAUUUCCCAAAGCAUUCCAGGUGUGGACAUACAAGAUCCUAUCAUCAAUAGCAGGGAACGUCGCCACUCGAAAGAGCAAGGUAGCUGUGCCUCGUAUAUUACGGUGGUCAUGAACCCACUUGGUGUCAUUCAAAGUACUCGAGAGAGACGUUUUUGAGUCUCAAAAUACAAAAGUCAAACAGGGUCUUGUCAUGUCCGAUGCUGAGAAGGAGUUUCGGGACACCCCAAUUGAUAGACGGCUUGUAAGAUAAGUACAUUCUGACAUCGAGAGUCCAGGGAGCUCUAGUAGUUCAGAGAGUGGCAGUAGUUCAGACGAUAGUUCUGAAGGUAGGGAAGGUGAUGAGUAGGAUAAUUCAGAAGGUGGAGUAAGGGACAAAGAAUCUGAUACGGACAUGAACAUCCACCAAUCUACUUACACCCCCAGCGAGGAUAUGUUUCAUGAUGUGUUGAUGGGUGACGUACGUCUUGAGCUUGAGGAGGAGCAUUCUGUCCUCGAGAAGGACCAUUCUGAGCCUGAGGUUCCGGGUCACAAGGAGGGAGCCAAUAUUGAUCCUCUUGUAUAUUCGUACCUGUGGAGUAUUGACAGCUCAAUAUCGGGCUUGGAUGAUUGUGUAACGAAGGUGGAAAUUGACACAAAAGACAUCAAAGCACAAUUGUCAACCAUUUUGUCUCUAUUAUAGUCUAUGAAGGGUUCCACGGUGUUUGAGGUGACGAGGUCCCAUAUUCCAUAGACAGGCCACGAUGCCACGAUGUCACCCAGCCCGCCUCUAUCUCGGUCAACCACCCAACCUGUACCUAGGUCACCUAUUGAGCCUUUACCUAGGUCAUCUACCCCACCUGCAACUAGGUCACCUAUCCCACCUGUACCUAGGUUGCUUACCCCACCUCUACCUACCUCACCUGACACUAUACAUCUCGAUUCUUCUGUACAGCCUGAGGAGUAUGAGGUUUCACCUUCUGAGGAACACUCUGACACUAUACAUCUUGAUUCACAGGUUAUGGUUGAGAGUCGAAAAACAACACGUAAGAGAAAGACUGUUGACAAAUACACACCUCUAGUCGAACCAAAGAAGAAAAUAAAAAAACAGAAGAAAAUUGAGGUUCAACUUAUUUUGAAUUGUUCGGAUAUUAAGUACCCUCUCCCUGGGGUACCUACAACACUGUUUAAAGCGACGAUCCAGUACUCCUUGGAGCAUGAGGUUCCACAUGCUGUAUUCACGAAAAUGAUGAACUGAAUUGCUGAUAAUAAUACGGACAAUGAGGUUCGAGAAAAUGAAUUUCGGCCAUUGUCCAAGUUCUUUUUCUAGGAGUCGACCGAACCAAGUUCAUGAGUUAAGUGUGACUCACUUCCAAUUUCGAUGACCAAGUAAGAGAAAAUGGCAUCAACCGUGAAGGAGGAUAGCGAUCGAUUUUUUGAAUGCUUCAAAUGUGGCAUUUCUCCACCUCUUGUAGUCGGAACUUAAAUCAUAUGCUUCUCAACUAAUCGAUGGUACACUUGACAUGAAUGAGGAUGAGAUUUUCAUACGAGUAUUUGGACCGGAGAAACACGGGUGUGUUCAUGGUUAUGAAGUAGGUGUUACUCCUUCUGAGUUGUUUGGAUCGUCGUCUAGAAUACACAAUCUUGAGUGUCGCCAUAAUGAGUCCGAAGCUUCAAGAAUCUGAAUGACAAAGAAAAGAAUCUGAACAACAAAGAAAGGUUGAGGUAGAAGCACUUAGGCAUCAAAUAAGUGAAUUAGAAAAUCGUUUUGAGGAUAUAUUUCAAAAAAUGAUGACAGAG